UGGGGAAUAUUGCACAAUGGGCGAAAGCCUGAUGCAGCAACGCCGCGUGAGGGACGACGGCCUUCGGGUUGUAAACCUCUUUUAGCAAGGAAGAAGCGAAAGUGGCGGUACUUGCAGAAAAAGCGCCGGCUAACUACGUGCCAGCAGCCGCGGUAAUACGUAGGGCGCAAGCGUUAUCCGGAAUUAUUGGGCGUAAAGAGCUCGUAGGCGGUUUGUCGCGUCUGCUGUGAAAACCCGAGGCUCAACCUCGGGCCUGCAGUGAGUACGGGCAGACUAGAGUGCGGUAGGGGAGAUUGGAACUCCUGGUGUAGCGGUGGAAUGCGCAGAUAUCAGGAAGAACACCGAUGGCGAAGGCAGAUCUCUGGGCCGUAACUGACGCUGAGGAGCGAAAGGGUGGGGAGCAAACAGGCUUAGAUACCCUGGUAGUCCACCCCGUAAACGUUGGGAACUAGUUGUGGGGGUCCAUUCCACGGAUUCCGUGACGCAGCUAACGCAUUAAGUUCCCCGCCUGGGGAGUACGGCCGCAAGGCUAAAACUCAAAUGAUUGACGGGGUCAUAGCUGUUUCCUG
rnacentral:rRNA from 1 species